GCAGUGGUGGUUUAGUGGUAGAAUUCUUGCCUUCUAUGCGGGAGAUCCUGUUUUGAUCCCUGGCCAAUUCA
rnacentral:tRNA from 1 species